rnacentral:rRNA from 1 species
CCUACGGGCGGCUGCAGUGGGGAAUUUUGGACAAUGGGGGCAACCCUGAUCCAGCCAUGCCGCGUGAGUGAAGAAGGCCUUCGGGUUGUAAAGCUCUUUCAGCCGGGAAGAAAUCGCAUCAGCUAAUACCUGGUGUGGAUGACGGUACCGGAAUAAGAAGCACCGGCUAACUACGUGCCAGCAGCCGCGGUAAUACGUAGGGUGCGAGCGUUAAUCAGAAUUACUGGGGGUAGAGCAAGAGAGGGGGGUUAUCCCCGGGCUCAACCUGGGAACUGCGUUUGUGACUGCACAGCUAGAGUAUGGCAGAGGGGGGUGGAAUUCCACGUGUAGCAGUGAAAUGCGUAGAGAUGUGGAGGAACACCGAUGGCGAAGGCAGCCCCCUGGGCCAAUACUGACGCUCAUGCACGAAAGCGUGGGUAGCAAACAGGAUUAGAUACCCCAGUAGUC